rnacentral:rRNA from 1 species
GAUUUCUGGUUCGAUGUGCCUGGCCCGCCGGGGUUACCCGCGUGAGUGCCGGUGCGCAUCAGCCAUCCUUCUAGAAAACGGCCUUACUCUUCACUGAGCCGAGGUCGCGAUCUAGAUCUUUUACUUUGAAAAAAUUAGAGUGUUUAAAGCAGGCUUACGCUAUGAAUACAUUAGCAUGGAAUAAUAAUUUAGGACUUCGGUCUCUAUUUUGUUGGUUUCUAGAGCUGAAGUAAUGAUUGAUAGGGAUAGUUGGGGGUGCUAGUAUUCAGCGGCCAGAGGUGAAAUUCUUGGAUUCGCUGAAGACUAACUUAUGCGAAAGCAUU